UACGUAGGGGGCUAGCGUUGUCCGGAGUCAUUGGGCGUAAAGCGCGUGUAGGCGGUCCGGUAAGUCCGCUGUGAAAGUCGGGGGCUCAACCCUCGAAUGCCGGUGGAUACUGUCGGGCUAGAGUGCGGAAGAGGCGAGUGGAAUUCCUGGUGUAGCGGUGAAAUGCGCAGAUAUCAGGAGGAACACCAGUUGCGAAGGCAGCUCGCUGGGACGUUACUGACGCUGAGACGCGAAAGCGUGGGGAGCAAACAGG
rnacentral:rRNA from 1 species